GCUCGCCAGGGGGCGCUGGGCCCGGGCGGCCCCGCUGCGCCGGCGGAGCCACGUCAGCGUCCGGCCCGCGCCUCGCCCGGGUGGCGGCAUGGGGACGGCGGCCCUGGGAGCCGAGCUGGGCGUGCGGGCCCUGCUCUUCGCGGCCUUCCUGCUGACCGAGCUGCUCCCCCCGUUCCAGCGGCGGAUCCAGCCCGAGGAGCUGUGGCUCUACCGGAACCCGUACGUGGAGGCGGAGUACUUGCCCGCCGGGCCCAUGUUUGUGAUCGCGUUCCUCACGCCUCUGUCCCUCAUCUUCCUGGCCAAGUGUCUGAGGAAAGCGGACGCCGCUGACAGCAAGCAGGCCUGCCUCGCUGCCAGCCUUGCCCUGGCUCUGAAUGGUGUCUUUACCAACGUGAUAAAACUCAUAGUGGGGAGGCCACGCCCAGACUUCUUCUACCGCUGCUUCCCUGACGGGCUGGCCCACUCGGAUUUGACUUGCACGGGAGACAAGGAUGUGGUGAAUGAGGGCCGUAAAAGCUUCCCCAGUGGACAUUCUUCCUUUGCGUUUGCUGGUCUAGCCUUUGCUUCCUUCUACCUGGCGGGAAAGUUACACUGCUUCACACCACAGGGCCGAGGGAACUCCUGGAGGCUUUGUGCCUUUCUGUCGCCUCUACUCCUUGCAGCUGUGAUCGCACUCUCUCGCACGUGUGACUACAGGCACCACUGGCAAGAUGUGCUGGCUGGAUCCAUGAUUGGAACGGCGCUCGCCUACAUCUGCUACAGGCAGUACUAUCCCCCUCUGACUGACAGAGAAUGCCAUAAGCCAUUUCAGGACAAGCACAGACUUCCCUCUUCACAGAAGCCCAGUGAGCCUCACCACUUAGAUGUCUAGCUGAAUCUACCUCAAUGAAAAACCUCCAAACUGGAUGCCAUGCACAAGCCAAGAUUUCUGGCUUUUACCUCUUCCAGGGUAAAAGUGAGGACACAGCCACACGUGUCUGCUGCCACAGGACGGUACCUUCCCCCCCUCCCAAGCUAGAUCCUGAGGAAAUCCCUGGCCUGGCCUGGUCUGGCAAGGGAAUCUCUCUCACUAGAUUAAAUGUGAGCUCUCACCUACUCCUUCAGCACUGACCGUGCCUGCCACCACCGUGCUCCCCUACCAUGACGAUAAUGGACCAACUCCCUGAAACUUUAAGCAAGCCUCCAUUAAAUGCUCCCUUUUAUAUGCUGCCUUGGUCAUGGUAUCAUCACAGCAAUAAAAAAGUAACUAAGGCAGAAGUGAAAAUAAAGGGUAUAGGUAAUUUCCAGAUAAGGAAGUAAAAAUGGCCCUUUUAUGUCUAUCAAGAGACUCAACCGUUUCCACAAUAGGAACAAUUGAUUUAGGGGUGGUACACACCUUUUAUCCCAGCAGGUGAGAAGAAACAGGCAGAUCUAUGAGUUGGAGGCCAGCCUGGUCUCCAGAGUGAGUUUCAGGAUAGCCAGAGCUACACAGAAAUACCCUGUCUUCAAAAACCAAACAAAGAGAGAGAGAGAGAAAGAAAGUGAAAGAGAAAGAGAAAGAAAGAAAAAGAAAUGAGAGAAAAAGAAAGAAAAGAACAAAAGAAAAAAGCAAGAAAGAGAGAGAAAGAAAGUGAAAGAGAAAGAAAGACAAAAGAAGAAAGGAAAAAAAGAAAAAAGAGAGAAAGAAGGAAGAAAAAGAAAAAGAAAGGAAGGAAGAAAGGAAGAAAAAGAAGGACGAGAAAGAGAAAGAAAACAAAAGAGCAAAGGAGAGAAAGAAGGAAGAAGGAAAGAGAGAGAAGG